UGAAGCUGCCACAUGAUCUGA
rnacentral:miRNA from 1 species